rnacentral:rRNA from 1 species
CCUACGGGACGCACCAGUGGGGAAUAUUGCACAAUGGGCGCAAGCCUGAUGCAGUCAUGCCGCGUGUAUGAAGAAGGCCUUCGGGUUGUAAAGUACUUUCAGCGGGGAGGAAGGCGAUAAGGCUAAUAGCCUUGUCGAUUGACGUUACCCGCAGAAGAAGCACCGGCUAACUCCGUGCCAGCAGCCGCGGUAAUACGGAGGGUGCAAGCGUUAAUCGGAAUUACUAGGCGUAAAGCGCACGCAGGCGGUCUGCCAAGUCGGAUGUGAAAUCCCCGGGCUCAACCUGGGAACUGCAUUCGAAACUGGCAGGCUAGAGUCUUGUAGAGGGGGGUAGAAUUCCAGGUGUAGCGGUGAAAUGCGUAGAGAUCUGGAGGAAUACCGGUGGCGAAGGCGGCCCCCUGGACGAAGACUGACGCUCAGGUGCGAAAGCGUGGGGAGCAAACAGGAU